rnacentral:rRNA from 1 species
CCUACGGGAGGCAGCAGUGGGGAAUAUUGGACAAUGGGGGCAACCCUGAUCCAGCCAUGCCGCGUGUGUGAAGAAGGCCCUCGGGUUGUAAAGCACUUUCAGUGAGGAAGAACGCCUGGUGGUUAAUACCCAUCAGGAAAGACAUCACUCACAGAAGAAGCACCGGCUAACUCCGUGCCAGCAGCCGCGGUAAUACGGAGGGUGCGAGCGUUAAUCGGAAUUACUGGGCGUAAAGCGCGCAUAGGUGGCUUGAUAAGCCGGUUGUGAAAGCCCCGGGCUCAACCUGGGAACGGCAUCCGGAACUGUCAAGCUAGAGUGCAGGAGAGGAAGGUAGAAUUCCCGGUGUAGCGGUGAAAUGCGUAGAGAUCGGGAGGAAUACCAGUGGCGAAGGCGGCCUUCUGGACUGACACUGACACUGAGGUGCGAAAGCGUGGGUAGCAAACAGGAUUAGAUACCCCUGUAGUC